rnacentral:rRNA from 1 species
UACGUAGGGUGCAAGCGUUGUCCGGAAUUAUUGGGCGUAAAGAGCUUGUAGGCGGUUUGUCGCGUCUGCUGUGAAAUUUCGGGGCUCAACCCCGAACUUGCAGUGGGUACGGGCAGACUAGAGUGUGGUAGGGGAGACUGGAAUUCCUGGUGUAGCGGUGAAAUGCGCAGAUAUCAGGAAGAACACCCGUGGCGAAGGCGGCUCUCUGGAACGCAACUGACGCUGAGACGCGAAAGCGUGGGGAGCAAACAGG